rnacentral:rRNA from 1 species
UAAGCGGAGGAAAAGAAACUAACAAGGAUUCCCCUAGUAACUGCGAGUGAAGCGGGAAAAGCUCAAAUUUAAANUCUGNCGNUCUUUGNCCGUCCGAGUUGUAAUUUAGAGAAGCGUCNUUCCGCGCCGGACCGUGCACAAGUCUCCUGGAAUGGAGCGUCAUAGAGGGUGAGAAUCCCGUCUUUGGCACGGAUGCCUGGUGCUUCUGUGAUGCGCUCUCGAAGAGUCGAGUUGUUUGGGAAUGCAGCUCAAAAUGGGUGGUGAACUCCAUCUAAAGCUAAAUAUUGGCGAGAGACCGAUAGCGAACAAGUACCGUGAGGGAAAGAUGAAAAGCACUUUGGAAAGAGAGUGAAACAGUACGUGAAAUUGUUGAAAGGGAAACGCUUGAAGUCAGUCGCGUCGACCGAGACUCAGCCUUGCCUCGGCUUGGUGUACUUCUCGGCCCGACGGGUCAGCAUCAAUUUUGGCCCUCGGAUAAUGGCAGAGGAAAGGUGGCACCUUUACGGGUGUGUUAUAGUCUCCUGUCGCAUGCGAGGGGUGGGAUUGAGGAACUCAGCGCGCACCUCAGUGUCGGGGCUUCGGCCCACGUCACGCGCUUAGGAUGCUGGCGUAAUGGCUUUAAACGACC